rnacentral:lncRNA from 1 species
UUGUGUGAAGGCAUCUGCUGGUAUAGCCCCAAUCCCUGAAACACACAUCUGGGNUUAGCUGUCCAGCCUCUGCAUUAUGAGAAGGCACAGCAGGCAUCGAGUGUACCAAUCUGCCUAUCGUUCACGAAAGGCUCUGAACAAGACACCUGGCUUCCAUCUCUCCAUCAACGAACUCAUUUGGAAAUAUCUGCUCAGAUGCUGGUAUGGCCCCAACUUCGGGUUCAGGGGUGAACAAGGGCACACCUCAUGGAGCUUCCAUCCAGCUAUGGGACUUAGCUGCCUUGGUGACAAACACUUGUAUCCAGGUCUUCUGGCUGGAUUCGGGUGGGGUUAUUCAUCCACUCUGAAUUCAGCUCAGAAGCCCUGGGGUAGCACCGACUAGAAGUGCACAUUGGAUUACGUCACCACCCUCUCUUUCAUGGCUUCCCAUUAUUCUUGGAAUCUUGAGGAAGGCCCUGCAUGGUCUGGCCUCAGCCCCUCCGUUUCUCACUCUCAUUUUCUGUGCUCCUGUUCCUCGAGUGGUCCACACUCCCUCCCAUCACAGGGCCUUUGCAUGUGCCAUUCCCUUUGCCUGGUGGUUCUCUGUGGUGAACAGAUGUUAAGGUGACCACCAUCAUGCUCACUUCCUGGCAUUCACACCCUUGAGUGUGGAGGGAUCUGUGACUUGUUUCUUUCUUUCUUUUUUUUUUUUUAAAGAUUUAAUUUAUUUAUUUGACAGAGAGACAGCCAGCGUGAGAGGGAACACAGGCAGGGGGAGUGAGAGAGGAAGAAGCAGGCUCCCAGUGGAGGAGCCUGAUGUGAGGCUUGAUCCCAGACUGCUGGGAUAACGCCCUGAGCCUAAGGCAGACGCCCAACGACUGAGCCACCCAGGCGCCCCUGGACCUGUGACUUGUUUCUAACCAACAGAAUACGGCACAGGCAAUGGAAUGUCACUGCUGUGAUUAUGUUAAUUAUGUAAGACUCCACCUUGCUGGUGGACUCACUUUAGAGUCCUCCCCUACCCCCACCUUUCUCACUCUUGCUCUCACUGGCUGUGAAGAAGCAAGCUGCCAUGAGUCCUGCUGCCAUAAGAAAACGAGUUCUGCCAGAGCCUGAAGGAGCUAAGACAUGGAUCCUUCCAGUCAAGCCUCCAUGUGAGAACGCAGCCCUGCAUCACACCUUGACUGCAGCUUUGCCAAGGAUCCAGCUAAGCCGUGCCAGGACUCCUGACCCACAGAAACCGUGAGACAAUAAAUGUAUU